rnacentral:piRNA from 1 species
UUCACAGGGUGCAAGCUCCAAACUUUGGCAGC